rnacentral:tRNA from 7 species
UGGGGCGUAGCCAAGUGGUAAGGCAGGGGAUUUUGAUUCCCCCAUUCCCUGGUUCGAAUCCAGGCGCCCCAGCCA